rnacentral:rRNA from 1 species
CGCGUAGGUGGCCUGUUAAGUCGAACGUGAAAUCCCCGGGCUCAACCCGGGAACUGCGUCCGAGACUGGCAGGCUCGAAUCCGGGAGAGGGGUGUGGAAUUCCAGGUGUAGCGGUGAAAUGCGUAGAUAUCUGGAGGAACACCGGUGGCGAAGGCGGCAUCCUGGACCGGUAUUGACGCUGAGGCGCGAAAGCCAGGGGAGCAAACG